GACGAACGCUGGCGGCGUGCUUAACACAUGCAAGUCGAACGGAAAGGCCUCUUUCGGGGGUACUCGAGUGGCGAACGGGGGAGUAACACGUGAGUAACCUGCCCUUUACUUUGGGAUAACUUCAGGAAACUGGGGCUAAUACCGGAUAGGAGCUCCUGCUGCAUGGUGGGGGUUGGAAAGUUUCGGCGGUUGGGGAUGGACUCGCGGCUUAUCAGCUUGUUGGUGGGGUAGUGGCUUACCAAGGCUUUGACGGGUAGCCGGCCUGAGAGGGUGACCGGCCACAUUGGGACUGAGAUACGGCCCAGACUCCUACGGGAGGCAGCAGUGGGGAAUAUUGCACAAUGGGUGGAAGCCUGAUGCAGCAACGCCGUGUGCGGGAUGACGGCCUUCGGGUUGUAAACCGCUUUCGCUCAUGACGAAGCUUUGUGUGACGGUAGUGGGUAAAGAAGCACCGGCUAACUACGUG
rnacentral:rRNA from 1 species